GAUGAAGAACGCAGCGAAAUGCGAUAAGUAAUGUGAAUUGCAGAAUUCAGUGAAUCAUCGAAUCUUUGAACGCACAUUGCGCCCGCCAGUAUUCUGGCGGGCAUGCCUGUCCGAGCGUCAUUUCAACCCUCGAACCCCUCCGGGGGGUCGGCGUUGGGGAUCGGCCCUUUACGGGGCCGGCCCCGAAAUACAGUGGCGGUCUCGCCGCAGCCUCUCCUGCGCAGUAGUUUGCACACUCGCAUCGGGAGCGCGGCGCGUCCACAGCCGUUAAACACCCCAAACUUCUGAAAUGUUGACCUCGGAUCAGGUAGGAAUACCCGCUGAACUUAAGCAUAUCAAUAAGCGGAGGA
rnacentral:misc_RNA from 1 species